rnacentral:rRNA from 1 species
UACAGAGGUCUCAAGCGUUGUUCGGAUUCCUUGGGCGUAAAGGGUGCGUCGGCGGCGCGGUAAGUCGGGUGUGAAAUCUUGGAGCUUAACUCCGAAACUGCAUUCGAUACUGCCGUGCUUGAGGACUGGAGAGGAGACUGGAAUUUACGGUGUAGCGGUGAAAUGCGUAGAUAUCGUAAGGAAGACCAGUGGCGAAGGCGGGUCUCUGGACAGUUCCUGACGCUGAGGCACGAAGGCCAGGGGAGCAAACGGG